rnacentral:rRNA from 1 species
UGCAUGAAGUCGGAAUUGCUAGUAAUCGCAGAUCAGCAUGCUGCGGUGAAUACGUUCCCGGGCCUUGUACACACCGCCCGUCACACCAUGGGAGUCGGUAACACCCGAAGUCGGUAGCCUAACCGUAAGGAGGGCGCCGCCGAAGGUGGGAUUGAUGACUGGGGUGAAGUCGUAACAAGGUAGC